GACGAACGCUGGCGGUGUGCUUAACACAUGCAAGUCGAACGGUAAGGCCCUUUCGGGGGUACACGAGUGGCGAACGGGUGAGUAACACGUGAGUAACCUGCCCUCAUCUCUGGGAUAACAGUCGGAAACGGUUGCUAAUACUGGAUAUGAGCUUGCAAGGCAUCUUGUGGGUUGGAAAGAUUUUUUUUGGUUGGGGAUGGACUCGCGGCCUAUCAGCUUGUUGGUGAGGCAGUGGCUCACCAAGGCUUCGACGGGUAGCCGGCCUGAGAGGGCGACCGGCCACAUUGGGACUGAGAUACGGCCCAAACUCCUACGGGAGGCAGCAGUGGGGAAUAUUGCACAAUGGACGGAAGUCUGAUGCAGCAACGCCGCGUGCGGGAUGACGGCCUUCGGGUUGUAAACCGCUUUCAAUUGUGACGAAGCUUUUUUGUGACGGUAGCAGUAGAAGAAGCACCGGCUAACUACGUG
rnacentral:rRNA from 1 species